rnacentral:rRNA from 1 species
UAGGGAAUCUUCCGCAAUGGGCGAAAGCCUGACGGAGCAACGCCGCGUGAGUGAUGAAGGUCUUCGGAUCGUAAAACUCUGUUAUUAGGGAAGAACAAAUGUGUAAGUAACUAUGCACGUCUUGACGGUACCUAAUCAGAAAGCCACGGCUAACUACGUGCCAGCAGCCGCGGUAAUACGUAGGUGGCAAGCGUUAUCCGGAAUUAUUGGGCGUAAAGCGCGCGUAGGCGGUUUUUUAAGUCUGAUGUGAAAGCCCACGGCUCAACCGUGGAGGGUUCAUGGAAACUGGAAAACUUGAGUGGCAAAGAGGAAAGUUGAAAUCCAUGUGUAGCGGUGAAAUGCGCAGGGAUAUUGAGGAACACCCGGGGCGAAGGCGACUUUCUUGUCUGUUACUGACGCUGAUGUGCGAAAGCGUGGGGAUCAAACAGG